UCGUCAAAGUCGCUCACAUCUUUACGCUGACCCAUUUCUUCUGCUUCCAACACAAAGUUCAAAGUUCAAAAUGUUCACUUGCUGUUUAAUAUAUCCCCCCCCCACUGCCUAGUGCCAUUGAAACCAGAUAGUCAAUGUUAUUCACUUCACCUGUCAGUGGUCUUAAUUCAACCACUUCAGCAAACAGCAGAGACAUAAAAGCUCUUGGGAUUGUUAGGAUUAAAGUCUCCCUUUGCACAACUCCACAAGACAAACUUCAGUUUGAGCACUUCAAUUUCAGUGCAAUUUAUUUAAGUAGUGUCAAAUCAUAACAGAAGUUAUCUCAACACGCUUUUGAUAUAGAGAGGUGAAGUCCCGCCCCUUCCGGUGGACCACCAUGAGACCUUAUUUCGGAAAAACUAUGAAACAGUGUUUUUUUAUUGCGCCAUGAAUCACACAUAUGUUUGUCAAUUUGAAACAUAAUUUUGCAAGUCAAGAAAGUCUCAGUUUGUUGUAAAACUAUUGAAGCAUCAGACUGAAAAUACGUAAUCAGAAAGACGACACCCCCAAAAGUUGCAUAAGUCUCUCUCUCUGAAGCUACAAUACUUGUGUGUUUCCUACUGGGAUGAACU